AAAUUAAUAUUUUAUAUAUUGGUGUGGUAGAUAAAAAUAAAAUAAAAUAAUUAUCAUAUAAAAAAGUAAUUCGAAUCCUCUGUCCUCAAAAUCGCGUACCACUCCGUGUCCCAACAUGAAACUACACCGUUUUGUAGUUUAUAUUUUCAUCCUUUUUGCAGAUAAUCAGCUCGGCUCAAGCCGCGAAUCAUUUUUCUCUUUCCUAUAGCAGAUUGAUGUCAAAUUUUUUCUGAUUUAAUAAAAUCUCUCUCCACAAAAACGAGAGAAUUUCAUCUUCUACACGCGAUUUGGCUAUGGAUUUCCAAAACGGUGUAGUCUUGUGUUGGGAUCGUAUCGUCCGUUGUUGAGUAGCAGCGUCGAGGUGGAGGAGUGCAGAGGGGCGUUUUCUGUUUUGCUCCUCCCAUUAGAAAUUAUUUCCGACCAAAACCAAUUUUCAAAUCUCUUUCAAUUCUUCGCAGGAGCUGAGAGACAAAUGACGAUUUUGCGCUCAAGAAGGGCUGCUGGUUGCGGGGAUAACGGUGGACGAAAGAAUGUGAAGCUGAACAGCCUUGAUUCGAAGCCAUAUGGUUUGAGUUCAUCUCAGGAAUUGAAGGAUUAUCCGGAGGUGGAGAUGAUUCGCGGCUUGAGCCGAGCUGAUUAUCUACAGUGAGGGCGAAAAUAUAAACUACAAAACGGUGUAGUUUUGUGUUGAGACACGGAGUGGUACACGAUUUUGGGGACAGAUGAUCGAAACUGAUAAAAAUUUGCUCAAAUUUCAUGAAACAACUCAAAAAAAAUUACUCGUGCUUAAGCUUCAUGAGUCGAAGGGAUAAAUUUUUUCCUCAUUUCAUCUUAUUAUUAAUGCAAACUCGUCUACUCGAAUCGAGUAUCUAUUAAGUUAACGUGUGUUAAAUCAUGGGAUCAAAAAAUAUAGCUGUCAGAAAAAAUAUGUAAAAAAGUUGCA